GGGCUUGUGGUUUAGUGGUAUAAUUUUCCCUUAGCAUGUCGAAGCGUGGGAAAGGUCCUGGGUUCGAUUCCCAGCAAGUCCA
rnacentral:tRNA from 1 species